rnacentral:rRNA from 1 species
GGGUUGUGAGGUUAAGCGACCAAGCGUACACGGUGGAUGCCCUGGCAGUCAGAGGCGAUGAAGGACGUGCUAAUCUGCGAAAAGCGCCGGUAAGGUGAUAUGAACCGUUAUAACCGGCGAUGUCCGAAUGGGGAAACCCAGUGUGACUCGUCACACUAUCAUUAACUGAAUCCAUAGGUUAAUGAGGCGAACCGGGGGAACUGAAACAUCUAAGUACCCCGAGGAAAAGAAAUCAACCGAGAUUCCCCCAGUAGCGGCGAGCGAACGGGGAGGAGCCCAGAGCCUGAAUCAGUAUGUGUGUUAGUGGAAGCGUCUGGAAAGGCGCGCGAUACAGGGUGACAGCCCCGUACACAAAAGCGCAUGUGCUGUGAGCUCGAUGAGUAGGGCGGGACACGUGGUAUCCUGUCUGAAUAUGGGGGGACCAUCCUCCAAGGCUAAAUACUCCUGACUGACCGAUAGUGAACCAGUACCGUGAGGGAAAGGCGAAAAGAACCCCGGCGAGGGGAGUGAAAAAGAACCUGAAACCGUGUACGUACAAGCAGUGGGAGCCCCACCACUAAGCCAGUGGUGAACUCCACAUACGCAUCCUUUGCGGAAGAUACGGUUAACGGAGCGAAAGCGACGUUCAACCGCAAAAGAAGCAGAGGGGGCUUAGUGGUGGGGUGACUGCGUACCUUUUGUAUAAUGGGUCAGCGACUUAUAUUCUGUAGCAAGGUUAACCGAAUAGGGGAGCCGGAGGGAAACCGAGUCUUAAUUGGGCGUUAAGUUGCAGGGUAUAGACCCGAAACCCGGUGAUCUAGCCAUGGGCAGGUUGAAGGUUGGGUAACACUAACUGGAGGACCGAACCGACUAAUGUUGAAAAAUUAGCGGAUGACCUGUGGCUGGGGGUGAAAGGCCAAUCAAACCGGGAGAUAGCUGGUUCUCCCCGAAAGCUAUUUAGGUAGCGCCUCGUGAAUUCAUCUCCGGGGGUAGAGCACUGUUUCGGCCAGGGGGCCAUCCAGGCUUACCAACCCGAUGCAAACUGCGAAUACCGGAGAAUGUUAUCACGGGAGACACACGGCGGGUGCUAACGUCCGUCGUGAAGAGGGAAACAACCCAGACCGCCAGCUAAGGUCCCAAAGUCAUGGUUAAGUGGGAAACGAUGUGGGAAGGCCCAGACAGCCAGGAUGUUGGCUUAGAAGCAGCCAUCAUUUAAAGAAAGCGUAAUAGCUCACUGGUCGAGUCGGCCUGCGCGGAAGAUGUAACGGGGCUAAACCAUGCACCGAAGCUGCGGCAGCGAACGUAUCACUUAAAGCGAUUCAGCGGAUGACGAUUGACGGAGCGAAGCGACGUCAAAGCGUUUUACAACGUCGAGUCGGUUUAAGGAUACGUUCGUUGGGUAGGGGAGCGUUCUGUAAGCCUGCGAAGGUGGCCUGUGAGGGUUGCUGGAGGUAUCAGAAGUGCGAAUGCUGACAUAAGUAACGAUAAUGCGGGUGAAAAACCCGCACGCCGGAAGACCAAGGGUUCCUGUCCAACGUUAAUCGGGGCAGGGUGAGUCGACCCCUAAGGCGAGGCCGAAAGGCGUAGUCGAUGGGAAACAGGUUAAUAUUCCUGUACCUGGUGUUACUGCGAAGGGGGGACGGAGAAGGCUAUGUUGGCCGGGCGACGGUUGUCCCGGUUUAAGCGUGCAGGUGUGUGUUCCAGGUAAAUCCGGUUCACUUUAACACUGAGGCGUGACGACGAGGCACUACGGUGCUGAAGCAACAAAUGCCCUGCUUCCAGGAAAAGCCUCUAAGCCUCAGGUAACAUCAGAUCGUACCCGAAACCGACACAGGUGGUCAGGUAGAGAAUACCAAGGCGCUUGAGAGAACCCGGGUGAAGGAACUAGGCAAAAUGGUGCCGUAACUUCGGGAGAAGGCACGCUGACA